GCCUAACUUAUAAAUCCAGAUAAUCUCUAUAUUUUCAAUAUAUUUCUAAAAAUAAAUUGCAUGUACAGUUCAAUGUUCGACCCCUUUUGCACUUGUAUUUUCAGCAUUUUAUACUUGAUUGUAUAAGUCUUAAAAAAUAGUCUUCUUCUCACAUCCGUACCUCAUCUACAACUUUUUUUUUAUCAGAAUUACAAAAGAAUG
rnacentral:lncRNA from 1 species